rnacentral:rRNA from 1 species
UACGGAGGGUGCGAGCGUUGUUCGGAAUUAUUGGGCGUAAAGCGCACGUAGGCGGCUUUGUAAGUCUCAUUGUGAAAGCCCGGGGCUCAACCCCGGGACUGCAGGGGAUACUGCGAGGCUUGAGUCAAGUAGAGGUUGGUAGAAUUCCGGGUGUAGCGGUGGAAUGCGUAGAGAUCCGGAGGAAUACCAGAGGCGAAGGCGGCCAACUGGACUUGUACUGACGCUGAGGUGCGAAAGCGUGGGGAGCGAACAGGAUUAGAAACCCCCGUAGUCC